GACGAACGCUGGCGGCGUGCCUAAUACAUGCAAGUUGAGCGCUGAAGGUUGGUACUUGUACCAACUGGAUGAGCAGCGAACGGGUGAGUAACGCGUGGGGAAUCUGCCUUUGAGCGGGGGACAACAUUUGGAAACGAAUGCUAAUACCGCAUAAAAACUUUAAACACAAGUUUUAAGUUUGAAAGAUGCAAUUGCAUCACUCAAAGAUGAUCCCGCGUUGUAUUAGCUAGUUGGUGAGGUAAAGGCUCACCAAGGCGAUGAUACAUAGCCGACCUGGGAGGGUGAUCGGCCACAUUGGGACUGAGACACGGCCCAAACUCCUACGGGAGGCAGCAGUAGGGAAUCUUCGGAAAUGGAAGAAAGUCUGACCGAGAAACGCCGCGUGAGUGAAGAAGGUUUUCGGAUCGUAAAGAUCUGUUGGUAGAGAAGAACGUUGGUGAGAGUGGAAAGCUCAUCAAGUGACGGUAACUACCCAGAAAGGGACGGCUAACUACGUG
rnacentral:rRNA from 1 species